AUUGAACGCUGGCGGCAGGCCUAACACAUGCAAGUCGAGCGGAAGAAGGGAGCUUGCUUCUGGUGCCAGCGGCGGACGGGUGUGUAAUGCCUAGGAAUCUGCUUGCCAGUGGUGGAUAAUGUCUGGAAACGGGCGCUAAUACUGCAUACGUCCUGCUGGAGAAAGAGGGGGAUCUUCGGACCUCACGCUAGCAGAUGAGCCUAGGCCGGAUUAGCUAGUUGGUGGGGUAAAGGCCUACCAAGGCGACGAUCCGUAACUGGACUGAGUGGAUGAUCAGUCACCCUGGAACGGGAACAGGGUCCAGGCUCCUAAGAGAGGCAGCAGUGGCGAAUGUUAGGCAGUAGGCGAAAACCUGGCCCAGCCAUGCCGCGUCUGUGAAGGAGGUCUUCGGAUUGUAAAGCCCUUUUUGUUGGGAGGAAGCGCUGUAGGUUGAUACGUUGCUUUUUUGACGUUACCGGCUGAAUAAGCACCGGCUAACUACGUG
rnacentral:rRNA from 1 species